CUCGAACCAUGGCAACACUGUGAACAGUGUAAACUGACAAGCAAGAUGCGCGCGCACCAUUUUCAGGUUAGCGAAAAAUUGAAAACUGCAAUAAUAUGUAACGUAUGCAAGUACUUAGGCGCGGCGGUCAUACGAUCAACGUUAAUUCAAUGCAACACAUUAUUUACGUCGAUUUAUAUUUAUAACCAAGAUUAGAACAAUACAUUAUUCGAUAAAUUUAUGAGCUACGAUCGAGCCAAUCUUAGAACGCGGUAAACUAACGCAUCGACAAAAAAUCGAUCGAUUUACAUUCGUAAACAAUCGAACGAGUCACGCGAUCGAUAUUAAGGUUGAACUUUGUUUUUACGCCGGCAAAAAUUAGUAACUUUUUUGUAAACACGGGUAGAAUGUCGGCUUCUAUCACGUCUGGAUGUCUCAACUAUACUGCCUAAACAAGAAGAGCUAACAUCAGUUUUAAAUCAAAUGUGAUACUAUUAUUUGCGCCGAUUUUCAUUCAUAAUCAAUAAUCGGGUUAGAAAAAUAAAUUAUUAAGAACGCGAUACGGACCAGAAAUCAACGAAUUUACAUUCGUAAACAUAUUUAUGAUUUUCCAAACAACAACAAGUACAUAACGGCCUUUUUCGUGACGUAACGAAUAAAUUCCUAACGUACAUACGUACUUACAUAGUUUCACGUUCAUCGGUAAGACGAUGCAUGAAUAUUUCUCAGCGUUAACAACGGACAACGAUAAACAACAGGUACACCAGAUGUUGUUUAAACGGUUAUUAUUUAAACGAUUGCUACCUAAGAAAAGGUGGAAGAGUAUGUGAGAAUAGAACAUUUCAACGCAAGAUGUUUCUCAAAGUACCGUAAUAAGCGAAGCCAUCGUAAUGAUAUAAAUAUCAGAAUUAUCGCAUGGUAUAUUUAGCUUACAGACGUCGAAGUCGGUAAACAACAAACCACGAUCCGUCAUACGAUUUCAAAACGGCCAUCAUGCAGAUUGAUUUCUUCUUCUUUUCUCUUCUCUUCUCUUUUAUAAUUGCUCGCGAGUAUGUAUAUAGCAUUGCUUAUUACGAAUGGUGAAAAAUUUAAGUGAGCAGUAAACAAAUCAAGUCCAGUCAGUAGAGAUUCGUGACUAAAUUUAAUCGUAUGUAUGCACAUAAGUGAUGCACGUGACUUGACGAAUUAAAAAAUCUAUUCUAUCAACGACGAUUAAAUCGUUGAUAAUUUAUUAGCAGUGAAAUUGGGGCGACAAACACUGUUCUCGGAAUAGACAUUGCGUUAUUUCAACGUACUCGAUUAUCGAUCUAUAGAAACAAAAAAAUGUAUCGCGUUCUAUAAGUUUAAUCGAUACACCAUUAGCUAUUAUUAUUCGCUCUAUCAAAUACUAAUCACUAAUCACUAAUCAAUAAUCAGAAUUUGAAAAUUAUUUGAAUAAUUUUAUCGAAUAAAGAAGAGGCGAACAAUACGAACAGAGGGUGGUUGCUGAACCUCGAUUUACCGUUCUGAAAACUUACGCUCCCCUUUUGCACAACCUGAUCUACCUCAAGUGAUAUACGUUAAGAAGAAAAUCGAUCAUUCUAACACGCGUGCGUGUCACCACGCACCCAUUUUCCUCUCCCAAAGAAAAAAAAUAAACUCGUUAAUUGGUGUAUAUUCGAUAUACGCAGAGGUGAAGAUAAGCAGUUCGGGACGAGAAACUACUAAUAUAGUAAUUAUACAAAGAGAAUUGCGACUUAGCCUCGAGAUGGAUACGCGAAAUCUAAAUAUGGAUAUCGAUAUUCCGUAACGUUCCACCUGUUUUGGAACCUAAUUCGAUUUAUCUACUUACUCGAGAAUAAUUAAUACUAUACGAUUAUUCUUGAGAAUAUUCAUGUGAAUCAUCCAUUCAAAGCUUACGUUAGAAAAUAAUAGGUAAGUAAUUGUUCGCUUACCCACAGAAUCACCGUUCUUCUUGCCAUUGUUGUUCUUGUUCUUCUUAUUCUUCGGAUAGAUGUUACCGAUUUUGCUCUGUCCACAACCCAUCCUGGUUUGUUGCGUGCUCGUACGCUGCUCACACUGAACUUCACUUUCCACCAACUUCCAAUACUUUUCAAUUUUCUUUUACAACUUUCCGUAAACAAUCGUUUCGCUCGAGAAAAGAAAAAAGAAGAAGAAGAAAAAAAAAGAUUUCUUUUCUGAAGAAAUUAACUCGAAAGAAUUGUUCUCAUUGCCCUCAUUGUCUAUCGUUAACAUUUGCGUGGUCGUUCAAAGAUACAAGUUUCUUCUACAUAUUAGGCAGCGAAACAACUUUUUCAUGUCUACCUACAUACAGAUACGUACAUGUACGUAUAUUUCUUUUAUACGCAUCCGUGUAAACAUAUAUAUGUAUAUAUGUAUGUAUGUAUGUAUGUAUGUAUAAAGAAAGCAGGCAGAUUGUUAAUCACACGAGAUCCCAAAAGAUAUGUAUUGUAUGUAGAUGCGAAACAAUAAACGCGAAAGACAAAGUCUAAAACAUUUAACGAAUUCAGUCUUUUCAUCAACCAGAGACUUUCCUCUUACAUUCAACUAACGCUAUCACCAGUUUAAACCAACUGAUUUUUAACACGUUCAUCAGUCUUUGGAACCGAUUUCAAAAGGGCAGCUAUAUGUGUAUAUGUAUGUGUAGGUAUAUAUUGUAGAAAGAGCGUAUCUUAACAUAACUUUCUCUGUUUCCUUCUGACAAAAUCAGUUGUCUUUGACCAAAGAACUUAGCUAUCGGGGCUCGUUUCGCCCCGGUCGCCGUGGACUUUCUCGUCUCUGGCUACCUGAGCCGAGUCACCCAAUCCAUGUUGCGUCUCAACUUUCUUCUACCACCCCAUCAUUCGUUAUCUAUCAUCUAUCCCAUGUCCAAAGAAGCCAAUCGUGCAUCCUCCCAAUCUAUCGUCGUCCUGUACAUUCGUUUGCUCGUCACUGGUUCUUCUCUCAAAAGGAGGAAUGUAUCUGAACCCAGAUUUCUAUACGAUCCACCUUACCAACUAAUCGAGUCUGAACAACACUGUUCCAUCGUAGAAUCGACUUCCGGUUUCAGUCAGUGACCACGUUUGAACGUGGUUAAAAAACUGGCUGACACAUGUUUCGGUUACGUGAUCCACUCUACCGAAUUCUCUCUUCCGUUUCUGAUCGGAUUCUGCAAAAUAAAAAAAUACAGAAUGAAACUUUCUUCCGUUUGAACCUCCCAUCUAUCGUGUCUCGGUGUUACACUUUACUUUCUUCAGGUUUAAUAUGUGUAUGCAUCAAUAAAACAAUUGUAAAA